CGUGGCACAGGCAGCGGCGCAGGCGGGGAGGGAGGGGCGCGCUUCCAACCCCUCCACCCCCGGGGCUUCUUCAAAAGCCGCCGCUGUGAUUCGCGGGGCCGCCGCGCAGUAACGCGGGGCGAGGAGGGGAGCCGGGGGGAGGGAUGCUGCGAGGCGGACCCCCGGCAGCCCGACCUGGGGGGUGCUCCGGGGGCGCAGGCGGCGGCCACCCCUGUCCCGUCGUAGCUGCGGCGAGGCGCGGGUUGCACAAAUGGCAGUGCCUUCCAAAAACAAGACUCGGAUGAAACUCUUCUUCUGGAAUUUAGCUGAAGGAAAACACCUUAGAACAUUCGACCUUUUGCUUCACUUUUUUUUUUUUUCCUAAGUUUCCAAAGAAAUGCAAGCUUCCCUUCUUCUCUAGGAAGAGGUAGCCAUUGCUCUUCUUUACACUAGACAUUUCUAAUUUGUUCCGUCUGUCAAAAUGGGACUAUGAGAGGUUUUUGGUGCAAAUUCAUUAUCUCUGGCAACAUACAACCUAUAAUAGGAACUGAAAAAGACCGUGGCAAUGGAGGAACAAUAGGGCUUCAGUUCAUCAGCAACAAAAGCGUUGGGGAAAUUGCUUGAAUUUCAGAGCACGUCCUCCUCAGCAGAGAGGGCUGGACUAGACCUUGGCCAACUCCCCCAAAAAACUUGCAGAGCCUCACAUACAACAGUUCACUUUCUACUCCGGGGCAUAGGAAGCAUUGCAGAAAAAAAGAAAAAAUAUAAGGCAAACCCAAGCCAACUUUCUGUGUUUCUCUCCCAUUUUUCUGGAUGGAACAUUUCUAACUCUUUUAGAGUCCUUGGAACAAGAAUAAUACUGUGGAGCUAAGCAGCACUUUUAAAUAGGGAUGGCGAGGGGAAAGACGUGAAUUUAUGGAAAAUUGGGAGAGCUUUCUCUGCUCUGAGGGGCCUUGGCCGUGGGGAUCUUUGUUUGUCAUCGUUGGCUCAGCUUUCCCCCUAGAUCUGGGGUCACAUCUUUCCCUGAUAAAGGCGAAGAAAUGAAGACAACUCCUGACAGAGAUGCUUCCUACAGCACACCAUAGUAGUGGGAGUGGAAUAGCUGCUGCAUCACUAACACCUGUAAGCAUCACCUGGAAAAGAGUAGUGUAUGGCUAGUGACUUUUCUUCCUGAGGAGAAUGACUGAGAUGUCUGCUUGGAGUUAUUCCUGGAAUUAGACCAGCAUGAGGUCUCCUCUACCAAUCAGAGCAAGGUUUUCCACAAGAAAAAUGAGAGGAAGUUGAGAAUAAAGCCCAUGUACCCCUCGCUGCAUAAAGACACGCAACUAUCAUAGUAUUUCAGUUAUUGUAGGCUGGAUUCUUCUUUGGUUGUUUACAUACCCACCAAUCUGUUGACUUUAUUUAGUUGGAAACCCACUCCUGCUCUGUCUCUAGUACUUGAGAUUGAUCUUAUUUCUCCUACAUUGGAAAAAUGUCUCAGUUGGGGAUGUGUGAAAGGAAGCCAAACACUGGAAGCAGUUCUCAAGUGUUUCUUGCAGAGACACGUACCUAUUUACCUGAAAGUGGCCAGGAGGUUUGACAGGCAUGAUACUACAAUUAUUGUUAUUAUCAACGUGGAUUGAAAGAGCUGAAUGUGAUCCCCUAGCCUGUAUGUGGACUGGUCAGACUUUGUAGACCAUCACUGUUCUGCCAUCUUCAAAAUAAUUCUAAGAAGCUGUUGUACAGAAACGUCAGAGAAAACUCCUAAAAAAAAAAAAAAGGAAAAAUAAAAAAUAAAGGCCUGGCCAAAGGAGAGAGCUCUGCAAUCUCCAUAACACAAGGAGAUAAAAAUGGGAUUGAUCCCCUUUGAACAGUGUUGCUCACCCUCGUACUAGCACAAGAUGGCGUUUGGAACUGACUUGAUGUACAUUUGGCAGGAGGCCAAAGCAGAGCAGAAUCAACAUCCAGAAGAAAAUGCCAAAUACAAGAAAAUAACAGGGACUUAAUAUGAUUUAAUAUCAAUAAAUUGUUUGAGGUCUAUUCAUCACAGCCUGGACUGAAACACUGCUUUUCCUCCAUGUCAUGGAGCCAAACUGUUGAGGAAAGUUUAUGGCAGAAGACCUACUGACCCUGUUCAAGAGCCUGUUCCUACUGUUUUCUACAAUUUCCUCUGUGCUUUUUUAUUAAAGUAACAGAUGAGAAUCACAAAAAGGUUGUGGCUCCUGGAAUCAAGAUAAACUUAAAAAGUUUUGGCUCAAUCCUGUUUUCAAGCUCUUUACUAGAAGUGUGGUGGGACAACCUAUAAAGAAGAAAUACAUUCUGCUGUCUAACUGAGAUCAUCUGGACAAUUCCAAGACAAGUCCUACACCACCCUACCUAUUCUCUAUGGUUCACUGGAGCCUACGCUACUCAAAAAGUCAUGCAGUUUUGGGGCUGUGGAUUUUAGUUUCUUUCCCUCCUAAGACAAAAAUACCCAAAAUAUUAAAGACAGUAUAAACCUGCACCACAGCUGUGUAAGGUGGGCAGAGAGAACAUUUUCCACUAAAACCCUGCUACUGGAGAACUUCCAGAUCCUAAAAAGAAUUUAGAAAAAGUAAAUCACAGGAAUAUCAACAUGGUGUGAAAGAAUGGAAGAUCAAGAGAAAACAGGUUUCACUUUCACUCUCUGGAUUAGAGGGAAGCUCUUCUUGCCUCCUUUUCCUGAGGGAUUGAUGGGUGUGAUGUACAAUGGUGGGUAGCCAGUAAAGACUGGCCCCCAUGUCAGGAAGAUGGAAUAGUCUCAGAGCAGUUCCAAGAAGAACUCAAUUUUAACUGGAUUUGAAGAGGACCGUAAUUAUGCCUUCGAACUUUCAGCAGGCUGUGUCAGAUACAUCAUUUAGAAGGUUCCACAAAUACUGAGGUAUCCCUGCUCCAUGGAGCAGCCUGACAGAGAAACAUUCUGCUAGGUCUAUGAGUUGUGCCGCCUGCAGGUCUGACCACUGGCUACCUCCUGCUACAGAGCUGCUAAGAAAGCCCAAAUUGAUGUACUUGAUCUGUGCUGAGAAUUGCAUGAUGUUCCACAAUUGCAACGAAAGAGGCCAUUAAUUCUGCAAAAGCUACUACAUAAUUUCACGUAGACACUUCCCAUUCAGAAAUAUAUUUCAAUUAAACUAAUUUCUGAAUAAAAAAUUAAGUGGAGAAUUCAGUGGAUGGCACCAGGGUCAAAGUUUGCCAUUCUGGAUUCUCCACUGCUUUGGGGACAGGGACAGUUCUGCUUUUGGACAGCACAUGGGAUAAGAACAAUCUUUGAGAGGAGGCACCACCAAAAUCUGACUCUCAGUAACUUUUAUCUGGUCCCUUUCAUUAUUUCCUUAUUGCAGCAUAUACUGGAAAUGCAGAUUUUCUAUUAAAUUUCUACUCACUUUUGUACUUGCUUUCACCACCAUGGACUACAAUAGACAAAUAAGUUAAUGACAUCUUUUCAUUCUAAGCAUAUAAAUUUCAGAAACAGGCCAAUUUAUAGUCAGUCAUAAUUUUGCAAUGGAAAGCAAUGGGGAAAAGCUAUGAUCAGUACCCAAAACAUGACUUUUCUAUUUUGUAAUAUUUAUAAAUUAUAUCCUAAACCUAAAAAACAGUUUGUUUCUAUGAAAUGUGGUUAUGUAUAUUUAAUUCUUUAAAAAUUUCUUAGAGAACUAUCUUCAUCUUGGCUAUCAAAUUAUUGCUUUCUCAAAAGAUUUACUCCUUUUUUCUUAUUCUUAGCAAUAUAUUAGAGAAGAUAAAAUUCAGUGAAAAAAAUCUUAAGCCAAUUUCAUUUUACUUGUACUUUUAUUGCUAUUUUGCAUUCAUAUUAUAAAAAUAGAAUUUAGUCUUUUAGAAAUCCUCUAGAUCCUUUGCAGACAAAAUCUUUGUUGAUAUUGCUUGAAACAAAGAUUAUAAAAUGGAGUGGUGAGAUUAGUUCUCUGUGUGUGUGUAACAGUGCCUGAUUAUUUUUCAUGCCAUGUUCUCCUAUCUGUUCAGAACACUUUUUCCACCAGUACAACUCAACAUUUGAUAUAAUUAAUAUAUAUCUCUUUUUAAAAUGAAGAGUUCAUGUUGCUUAAAUGUAUCUCUUUGGUUGGACUUUUAAUAAAAUAUUUCAACUAUUUUAAAUUGCCAUUUCUAGACCUUUCAGAAAGUUAAGCUGACAAAGAGGCUUCUCUUUUUGAUCUUGAUCAUUUUAAUCUGGGUAUUAUGGUGAUGGCUAAAGUCUAAAGAUCUGUGCAGCACCAUCCUAUAGUGAUAGUAGAAUUAAAAUAGCACACAGUACUUAAUUUUAAAUAAAUUUUUUUAAACGUUUGGGCCACACAAUAUAUGACCAUAACACAUUCAUCGCUGUUAUAGAAUAAAUGGCUUUGAGAGCUGUGGAUUUAUUUCAGUGUUCCGAACUGUUCUGGAGAGAGUGCUUAAACCUGCAUAGUGGCAAUAGUGGAAACAAGGUACUUGAGGCAUUGCUUCUUCACAGAUAGGGCAGAGCUAAACUCCGCUCAGUGACCAUCAGAGAGGAGUGCAGCAGCUUAGACUUCCAGUGGAUAUCAUGAUAGCUUUGCUUUCUUCCCCUAAAUUAAUAGAGUGGGACUAACUGUUGGUGCACUGGGCAAGGUGCAUUUAGCUGCAGGUCCAGCUACAUUUCCAUACAAUGAAGUGUUGAUAUCAGACAAACUGCAGGUAACCAUCUGGAAAAGAGGAAAAUCUGCUCAUGGACAACCAUCCUACUCCCCAUUAACUACAAGUCUUUUCUCUAACCUCUAAACAUUUGAGCUAAUGGGAAUACAGUGCUGAGCAAGGAAUCAACUGUGCUGGCUAAAGGGCUGCUGUCUUGCUUCCACUUUAGAAGUGAGAAGAACAAGAACUGAAUUGUUACUCUAAUACAUCAAGUCUCUUCAGAGCAUCUUACAUGGGAACUCAUUUAAACAUUCUUGCUUGGGAAUAAUUCAUGGGAUAGGUAGAUCUGGCUUCAGAUUUGUAACGGAUAUUGCAUAAUAGAAAGUAAAACAGCAAAAAGUACAAAAUUUGGACCUUAAGUGUAUGCAUACAGUAUUUGAGGGCAAAAUUAGUCCCACGUUACUUAACAGAAAAUCAGAAGAGACAUGGACCUACAACACUAAUUGUUACCCUAGGAGGAUGAAGGCAGUGCCACCAAUAUCCAAAAAUGUGCAAAGAAAAAAAACCAUGCAUUUUUGUAUUUCCCUUUUGACUUUUAUUUUCAUCUGUGUGACAUUGAGUUGAAGAGUUAAUAAAUUUUCGUUGCUACAAGAGGUCAUUUCACAACUAAAUGUAGCAAUUUGAAGUGGGAAAUGUAACAAACACCAAGAAGAUGUUUAAUGAAGUGGCAUUCUGGAUGUACUUGUUAAAGAGUACAUUUGCAGAACUGUUUGAUUGCUUAGAGUAUGUAGGAAGCUAUAAACCCAGCAGAGCAUUAGUGCUGAUUUUCAGAAUUGCAUUCAGCUCAAACGUCACCAUUCCACUUGGAAUUGCAAAUAAAUCUAAUACUGAAUUACCUAAUAUCAUGAAAAUGUUACUAUGCAAUUUGCAUAGCAAAAUGCUCAGAAAAACGGCGCUUCCUUCAGCCUAAACAUUAAGAACAUAAGACUUGAAUCUGCUUAUUAAUAUUAAAACAACUGCAGCCAGUCUUAAGAUUGAUGAAAAAGUUUUGUUUAAACAGCACAGAGCUGCAGUUUAACCAUGUCUCACAUCAGUUGGAUCUUUACAUUUUUGCCUGCUGACAGCAACUGUAAAAUAGUUUACUUAUAAAGUGCCAAUAUGCUAAUACUCCAACUGUCAAUAUUGAUUUUAUUUAAAAGAAGCAGGCUGUCUGAGUGGCUUUGCAUGUCAAUGCAUAGGCUCAGUGCCUAACACUGUUCAAUGUUCAUUUCAGCUUCUAAAUCGCAGCAUGCAAUGUACAGAAUUCAAUCUUUGGCCCAAUUAUUAUUGAAAGAGCAAGAAAUCAUAGAUAUCUAAUCACAUUGGAAUUGACUUUGCUGCUGGAAAGAGUUUGGUUUUGUGUCAGUCUUAUUACCAUUAAUUGGUGUCAAUCAGAUAUCUUAAAUAAAAAACAAAUGCUAGUCCUUCCUAUUA